rnacentral:rRNA from 1 species
AUUGAACGCUGGCGGCAGGCCUAACACAUGCAAGUCGAACGGUAACAGAAAGCAGCUUGCUGCUUUGCUGACGAGUGGCGGACGGGUGAGUAAUGUCUGGGAAACUGCCUGAUGGAGGGGGAUAACUACUGGAAACGGUAGCUAAUACCGCAUAACGUCGCAAGACCAAAGAGGGGGACCUUCGGGCCUCUUGCCAUCGGAUGUGCCCAGAUGGGAUUAGCUAGUAGGUGGGGUAACGGCUCACCUAGGCGACGAUCCCUAGCUGGUCUGAGAGGAUGACCAGCCACACUGGAACUGAGACACGGUCCAGACCCCUACGGGAGGCAGCAGUGGGGAAUAUUGCACAAUGGGCGCAAGCCUGAUGCAGCCAUGCCGCGUGUAUGAAGAAGGCCUUCGGGUUGUAAAGUACUUUCAGCGGGGAGGAAGGGAGUAAAGUUAAUACCUUUGCUCAUUGACGUUACCCGCAGAAGAAGCACCGGCUAACUCCGUG